AACGCGGCAGCAGCGGCCUUACAGCGAGGGUUUCUAUUACCUCGUUAUGAAUUACGGUGGAGUGCCCUGGUGAAGGGUCGAAGGUAUUUGAGAUCCUUUGGGAGCAAAUGCUAGAUAUUACUAAAACGAGACUCCAUUUAAUAGGUGAUAAAUCUUGAUAUUGUAAGUUUAAUAUAGUUUGAUGGUUGUAAAUCCAGUGAAUCUACUGUAGGAAUUUGCUGUACGUUGCGUUUAUGAAAUAUUUAGUCAGGUGUUUUUAAAGGUACGGCUUUUCUCAUAAGGUACUAGUUUUUAUGGGCUCAGCAAGAAAAUUUCGUACUGGUGUCACCCAUGCUGCCGUUUGUGGGACUUGGAAAUGAAAAAGGAAAAGGCACCGCGGGCUCUUGCUUUUUGUAUUAUAAGAAAGCUCUUCGAACAUUUGGCAGUAAUAGCCAAAUCAAGAAGUAGAUAUUAGUGUAUUUAAGACUAUUCUUUAGGAUUAGGAAACGGUAAGACACAAACCACUUGAAAAUAAGCAUACAUUUGAUGUUUAGACCGCAAACACUAGAAAGGAGUAUACAUGUGGGGUUGAAAUAUGGCCGCAGUGUGGAUGUUGGGCUGAGUCUACUGGGUUGAUGGCCACAAGGCCUUGAGUACAUCGUAAGCCAUGCGGACUUGUUUUCUAUUGCUGGGCAAGCAACAGAUUCACAUAAAUUCGAUGGGUCAAAACAGUACACAUUUGUUACCCCCCAGGCUUCUGUGGGUCAGGAGUCUAGGCACAGCUUAGCUGGGUUUCCUGCUUAGGGCUUCACAAGGUCGUGAUGAUCAAGGUGUUGCCUGGGCCAUGGUCUCAUCUGGCCUGGGAUCCUUCCAAGUUCGCAUGGUUUUUGGCAGGAUUCACGUCUUGCAGGUGCAGAACUUCCGGAAGCUUUCUUCUUCAAGGCUGGUAGGAGAGCUGCCCUCCCCCCUCAGUCUCUUUUCAGGGAAGGCUUGGAUCCUUUUAUUUAUUUUUUUUUUGAGUUCACCCGAUGAGGUCAGGCCCACCAAGGAUGAUGCCCACUUUGAUUAAUUUAAGGUCAACUGAUUAGGGUCCUUAAUUACAUCUGCAAAAUAAUUUCUCCUUGAUCGUAUACCAUAACCUAUGACAGUGACAUCCCGUCAUAUUGCCCACACUCAAGGGGAGGGUGUUAUUUACAACGUACACACCAGGGGAUGGGAGUCUUAGGGGCCAUCUGAGAAUUCUGCCCGCCAUACCACAGAUGUGACCUUCCGCAAGUUUCUGUACCUCUUGGCGCUUCCCCUUUGAGGGCUGUCAAACGGGGGUGGCGAUUCCUACGUGCCUUGGAAGGAUCUUGGUGGCCUCCGUGAGAGAACGUGGAGUAAGCUGGGGAGCCUCAGGUGCCGUGUGCCAGGUGCCACGGGCAGGCAGGAGGGGCCGGGUGUGGGGGGGUGCCACUAAUGCCACGGGUCUGCUUCGGCUGACGAUACCUCAACAGCUCUGUGACUUACCAGAGAAGGGCCAUUCGGUGGGACGGGUUCUCCCCUCCUCCCUGCCUACCCACUGGCUUCCCAGCACCCCUCCCCCAAACGGUCCCCGUCGGUCACCUUCCAUUUCUCAACCAACGUGACCCCGGCCGGAGGCAGAUAGGGGAAGACACGUUUUUUACGCAGUUGCCAUGGGUCCCCGGCAAGCUCUCGGUCAAAUACUAUUUGGAGCACAGAUAACUGCUUUUGCCAUUGUAACCGAAGGCGCACGCCCCGCAGCAGCCGUAAUUACAAAGGCAGGGAAGUGGAGGGAAAAUCCAUCUCAUUUAAAAGUGUUUUAGUGUCAGCAAACACAUUGCGAUGCCAUUAAGAAAGUUUUUGUUAAGGACACGUUGGACUUGAGGUUUUUAAUUUGUUUGAAGUGUUUUGCUAAAACAGAAUUAUGUUGGAGUUUACAUAAAAGUAGAGACUGACAUGAAAAGUUUUAACUUAAGCAGCAAAAUAUAAAGGCUAAUCUUAUUUAAAAGUAAUAUGUAUGUCUUGAUUGAGUGCCCAGAUACGCUCAGCUGGGACUUUUUAGUGGAAUCGGGUCUAAGCUGUUACACUGAGUUAUACCGAGAAGGUUUUCCUGAGCUUAUAUUGCCAGACCUGAAAUACUCUUGUGGCUGCAUUUAAUAAAGAAACGAAAGUCUUGAGUAAGGGGAUAUGAUUUUUUAUGACAGAAGGAAUGCAAAUAACUUUUAGUCUCAUUGCCUUGACCGGGUUCGGUUUGAUUUGAUGGAGUUUAAUAAUGACUUAUAACCUGUGCUGACAAUAUGCAGGCCCGCACAACGUCAUUUAACUCAUUUAUUCUGCUUGCUGUAAAAACAAGGAGAUGGCAAAUAAAUAUAUGGAACGUUCAUUGUUUGUCAGAGGGCCCAAGCCAAGAGUUUUCAGUGACCUUUUAAAAUACGGUCCCAGGCUAGUACUAAAAUGCCUGUCACUCAGCACACACACUUGCAUGCGCUGACCUUUUAACCCGUGCAUCUUGUGUUUUUUUCUCUUUCAAAUGGGCGUAUGCAUUUCCAAUCAGCUGCAAUAGUUCGGGCUCUUGCAUUGGAGGAUUACUGUAAAUUGCAGCCUGACAAUUACAAUACGCAGGGCACCGGCGAGUUAUUAAUGGGCUCGCCUACUGAUGGCCUUUCAGCGCAGCCUCGGACCUGCUGAGACUCAGCCUAAUUAGAUCCAGGGGUAGCGGCCCCUGUGGAUGAGGCUCCUAUUUACCCUUCAAAGACUCCGGCCCCCUCCUGCAGGAGACUUUCCAGUGCCUCUGCCCUGGCAUUCUGCCUCCAGAGCCUGCACGCCCACCCACUCCGCUGCAGGGGACGGGGAAGCAUCUGAACAUCCGACCGGCCGGCCAGAACCCAGUUUGCACCCCAAGGAAGGGGUGUCACAAGGAGCGAAGGCAGUGCUGGGUUCUGGGGAAGAGCUCGGACCCGGGACGUCUGUUGGGUGCCAGUGCUGGAUGGUUGAAGGGCUAGGAAUGCUGGCCCAGAAGGAUUCCUGAUUUGAAAUAAUGUGAUAAGGAAACUCCAGGAUCCCAUCAGCCUACAGCCUACCUUGGUCCGUGAGUUCUGAACAGGUUGGUGGUUGCCCCGUAGCCCCCAAACGGGAAAAUCCAUACACCGCAGCCUCCCCACACACUUCCACUGUCAUGGCCUCAGUCUCCCUGCCCCUGCUCGGUUGAACAAUCGUCCGGCUCCACCUGGCCUGCCCUGCCCAGCUCUCAAGGCAGCCCCUCCUCUGAGAAGCCUUCCUGGAUUCCUCAUCUUGGUAGAACUAUUUCCCGAGUCACAUGUUAUCAGUCCUACUCUGCGUUCCUGGAGCCCUACCUUGAGCCACUGGGGGCUGGGUCUCAGGAUCAUCUCUGUAUCUCCCAGGGCAGCCCCAGUCUGUUGAAUGAAUGAGAAAGCAAAACGGAGGAACAGAUCCCAAAGCGUCAUCCACAAGUUUCGGAAGUUAGGUUGCUUGAUUUUUGUUUUUAAUUAGGACUUGGGACUGUUGAAUACUUAUUUGGCAAUGAGUACCUUUAUUAAGUAACGGAUAAGCAUAGUAAUCAAGGGCAUCUUAUUUGGUUGCUGAACAUCUACGCAACGGAUUUUGUGGAGGUUGGUGGCUCCUGCCAUGGAGGUGGUACCAGUCCAGGUGGGGAAAUGGUGCACAGAGGCGAACAGAACAAUGUAGUGAGAAGAAACUCACACCUGGACCGAAGAGAAAGAGGUGGUUGGAGGUGGGGGAUGGAGACGGAGGGGUGAUGGAGAUGGAUGUAGGGAGAUGGGGGUGAUGGAGAUGGGGUGACAGAGA